GUUGAACGCUGGCGGCAUGCCUUACACAUGCAAGUCGAACGGUAACAGGUCUUCGGAUGCUGACGAGUGGCGAACGGGUGAGUAAUACAUCGGAACGUGCCUAGUAGUGGGGGAUAACUACUCGAAAGAGUGGCUAAUACCGCAUGAGAUCUACGGAUGAAAGCAGGGGAUCGCAAGACCUUGUGCUACUAGAGCGGCCGAUGGCAGAUUAGGUAGUUGGUGGGAUAAAAGCUUACCAAGCCGACGAUCUGUAGCUGGUCUGAGAGGACGAUCAGCCACACUGGGACUGAGACACGGCCCAGACUCCUACGGGAGGCAGCAGUGGGGAAUUUUGGACAAUGGGCGCAAGCCUGAUCCAGCAAUGCCGCGUGCAGGAUGAAGGCCUUCGGGUUGUAAACUGCUUUUGUACGGAACGAAAAGCCCUGGGUUGAUACCCUGGGGUCAUGACGGUACCGUAAGAAUAAGCACCGGCUAACUACGUGCCAGCCGCCGCUGUAA
rnacentral:rRNA from 1 species